rnacentral:rRNA from 1 species
UACGAAGGGUGCUAGCGUUGUUCGGAAUCACUGGGCGUAAAGCGCGCGUAGGCGGCUUUUCAAGUCAGGGGUGAAAUCCCACAGCUUAACUGUGGAAUUGCCUUUGAAACUGUAAAGCUAGAGUGUCGGAGGGGAUAGCGGAAUUGCUAAUGUAGAGGUGAAAUUCGUAGAUAUUAGCAGGAACACCGGUGGCGAAGGCGGCUAUCUGGACGACAACUGACGCUGAGGCGCGAAAGCGUGGGGAUCAAACAGG